AUUGAACGCUGGCGGCAUGCCUUACACAUGCAAGUCGAACGGUAACAGGACUUCGGAUGCUGACGAGUGGCGAACGGGUGGGUAAUACAUCGGAACGUGCCUAGUAGUGGGGGAUAACUACUCGAAAGAGUGGCUAAUACCGCAUGAGAUCUACGGAUGAAAGCAGGGGAUCGCAAGACCUUGUGCUACUAGAGCGGCCGAUGGCAGAUUAGGUAGUUGGUGGGAUAAAAGCUUACCAAGCCGACGAUCUGUAGCUGGUCUGAGAGGACGAUCAGCCACACUGGGACUGAGACACGGCCCAGACUCCUACGGGAGGCAGCAGUGGGGAAUUUUGGACAAUGGGCGAAAGCCUGAUCCAGCAAUGCCGCGUGCAGGAUGAAGGCCUUCGGGUUGUAAACUGCUUUUGUACGGAACGAAAAGCCCUGGGUUAAUACCCUGGGGUCAUGACGGUACCGUAAGAAUAAGCACCGGCUAACUACGUGCCAGCCGCCGCGGUAA
rnacentral:rRNA from 1 species